GCAACGCCGCGUGAGUGAAGAAGGGUUUCGGCUCGUAAAACUCUGUUGUUGAAGAAGAACACAUCUGAGAGUAACUGUUCAGGUGUUGACGGUAUUUAACCAGAAAGCCACGGCUAACUACGUGCCAGCAGCCGCGGUAAUACGUAGGUGGCAAGCGUUGUCCGGAUUUAUUGGGCGUAAAGCGAGCGCAGGCGGUUUCUUAAGUCUGAUGUGAAAGCCUUCGGCUUAACCGGAGAAGUGCAUCGGAAACUGGGAGACUUGAGUGCAGAAGAGGACAGUGGAACUCCAUGUGUAGCGGUGAAAUGCGUAGAUAUAUGGAAGAACACCAGUGGCGAAGGCGGCUGUCUGGUCUGUAACUGACGCUGAGGCUCGAAAGCAUGGGUAGCGAACAGGAUUAGAUACCCUGGUAGUCCAUGCCGUAAACGAUGAAUACUAGGUGUUGGAGGGUUUCCGCCCUUCAGUGCCGCAGCUAACGCAUUAAGUAUUCCGCCUGGGGAGUACGACCGCAAGGUUGAAACUCAAAGGAAUUGACGGGGGCCCGCACAAGCGGUGGAGCAUGUGGUUUAAUUCGAAGCUACGCGAAGAACCUUACCAGGUCUUGACAUACUGUGCUAACC
rnacentral:ncRNA from 1 species